rnacentral:rRNA from 1 species
UAAAGCGUGCGCAGGCGGUUAUGCAAGACAGAUGUGAAAUCCCCGGGCUCAACCUGGGAACUGCAUUUGUGACUGCAUAGCUAGAGUACGGUAGAGGGGGAUGGAAUUCCGCGUGUAGCAGUGAAAUGCGUAGAUAUGCGGAGGAACACCGAUGGCGAAGGCAAUCCCCUGGACCUGUACUGACGCUCAUGCACGAAAGCGUGGGGAGCAAACAGGAUUAGAUACCCGGU